rnacentral:lncRNA from 1 species
GCUCACAGUGAUAACUGAGACGAUCCCUCACCUUUUCACUCAAGAGUUCAGGCUUCGCACACCCUGAUGAAUUAUUGAACUUGCAAAUUCAUCCUCCUGAAUACAGAACAGUGACAUCACAGAGCUUCAUCUGGAUGGAAUGCUAUGCCACUUGUUAGCUAACUCCAAGCAAAGUGACAGGGGUCAUUAGACUCUGGAAGGAGACAGCAUGAUGCAGAGAGAGUAUGGGGCUACAUUUUUUGCAUGAGCUCAGAUAUUGACUUCAAAUCUGAUCUCAGGACAAGCAGAGCCUUGCAGACACCUGUGAUGAGAGCCCUCCCUCUGACAGUGGCCCGGAGAGGCCUUGCUCCUAGGAAAGGAGGACAAAUCCCGGAGCUGGCUUUGCCGUGGACCCCUGACUUCUCUGGAGCUGCGCUCAAGAUUGAGCUA